UACAAGGCAAUAAGGAUUUCCAACAGUCCAUCCGCGUUUGUGCCUUAAAGCGAAUAACAAAUACGAACAGUGUAACGAGAAUGUUCCUAAUCUGUGAACACAGAUGGUCUAUUGGAAUGCCUGAUUGCCUUGUC